CGGUUGAUCCUGCCGGACCCGACUGCUAUUUGGGUGAGGCCUAAGCCAUGCGAGUCGAAUGGGAUGCCGGUGUUUCCCAUGGCUCCCCCUCAGUCACACAUGAUCAACUUACCCUAUAGAGAAAAAUAACCUCGGGAAACUGAGGAUAAUGUUUCAUAGGUGAAAAGGCUUGAAAGUUUUUCAACAAAAGAAUAAAAAAAAUGGUUUUUAUUCGCUAUAGGAUAGGAUCGUGGUCGAUUAUGGUUGUUGGUGAGAUAACGGCUCACCAAGCCGAUAAUCGAUAGGGGCCGUGAGAGCGGGAGCCCCGAGAUGGGUACUGAGACACCGACCCAGGCCUUACGAGGCGCAGCAGGCGCGAAACCUCCGCAAUACACGAAAGUGUGACGGGGUUACCCAAAGUGUUCAAUUAUGAACUGUGGUAGGUGAGUAAUGUCCCCUACUAGAAAGGAGAGGGCAAGGCUGGUGCCAGCCGCCGCGGUAAAACCAGCUCUUCAAGUGGUCGGGAUAAUUAUUGGGCUUAAAGUGUCCGUAGCUGGUUUAGUAAGUUCCUGGUAAAAUCAGGUAGCUUAACUAUCUGUAUGCUAGGAAUACUGCUAUACUAGAGGGCGGGAGAGGUCUGAGGUACUACAGGGGUAGGGGUGAAAUCUUAUAAUCCUUGUAGGACCACCAGUGGCGAAGGCGUCAGACUGGAACGCGCCUGACAGUGAGGGACGAAAGCCAGGGGAGCGAACCGGAUUAGAUACCCGGGUAGUCCUGGCCGUAAACGAUGCAUACUAGGUGAUGGUACGGCCAUGAGCCGUAUCAGUGCCGUAGGGAAACCGUUAAGUGUGCCGCCUGGGAAGUACGGUCGCAAGGCUAAAACUUAAAGGAAUUGGCGGGGGAGCAC
rnacentral:rRNA from 1 species